UACGUAGGGUGCGAGCGUUAAUCGGAAUUACUGGGCGUAAAGCGUGCGCAGGCGGUUAUGUAAGACAGAUGUGAAAUGCCCGGGCUUAACCUAGGAACUGCAUUUGUGACUGCAUGGCUAGAGUGUGUCAGAGGGGGGUAGAAUUCCACGUGUAGCAGUGAAAUGCGUAGAUAUGUGGAGGAAUACCGAUGGCGAAGGCAGCCCCCUGGGAUAACACUGACGCUCAUGCACGAAAGCGUGGGGAGCAAACAGG
rnacentral:rRNA from 1 species